UACAUAGGGUGCAAGCGUUGUCCGGAAUUAUUGGGCGUAAAGAGCUUGUAGGCGGUUUGUCGCGUCUGCUGUGAAAUUUCGGGGCUCAACCCCGAACUUGCAGUGGGUACGGGCAGACUAGAGUGUGGUAGGGGAGACUGGAAUUCCUGGUGUAGCGGUGAAAUGCGCAGAUAUCAGGAGGAACACCGAUGGCGAAGGCAGGUCUCUGGGCCAUACCUGACGCUGAGGAGCGAAAGCGUGGGGAGCAAACAGG
rnacentral:rRNA from 1 species